AUUGAACGCUGGCGGCAGGCCUAACACAUGCAAGUCGAGCGAGCGGCGGACGGGUGAGUAAUGUCUGGGAAACUGCCUGAUGGAGGGGGAUAACUACUGGAAGCGGUAGCUAAUACCGCAUACCAUCAGAUGUGCCCAGAUGGGAUUAGCUAGUAGGUGGGGUAACGGCUCACCUAGGCGACGAUCCCUAGCUGGUCUGAGAGGAUGCCCAGCCGCACUGGAACUGAGACACGGGCCAGACUGCUACGGGAGGCAGCAGUGGGGAAUGUUGCACAAUGGGCGGAAGCCGGAUGCAGCCAUGCCGCGUGUGUGAAGAAGGCCUUGGGGUUGUAAAGCACUUGCAGCGGGGAGGCGUUACCCGCAGAAGAAGCACCGGCUAACGCCGUGCCAGCAGCCGCGGUAAUAC
rnacentral:rRNA from 1 species